rnacentral:rRNA from 1 species
UUUCCUACGGGGGGCAGCAGUGGGGAAUAUUGGACAAUGGGCGAAAGCCUGAUCCAGCAAUGCCGCGUGAGUGAUGAAGGCCUUAGGGUUGUAAAGCUCUUUUACCAGGGAUGAUAAUGACAGUACCUGGAGAAUAAGCUCCGGCUAACUCCGUGCCAGCAGCCGCGGUAAUACGGAGGGAGCUAGCGUUGUUCGGAAUUACUGGGCGUAAAGCGCGCGUAGGCGGCUACUCAAGUCAGAGGUGAAAGCCCGGGGCUCAACCCCGGAACUGCCUUUGAAACUAGGUGGCUAGAAUCUUGGAGAGGUCAGUGGAAUUCCGAGUGUAGAGGUGAAAUUCGUAGAUAUUCGGAAGAACACCAGUGGCGAAGGCGACUGACUGGACAAGUAUUGACGCUGAGGUGCGAAAGCGUGGGGAGCAAACAGGAUUAGAUACCCUUGUAGUCCC